UACAGAGGUGGCAAGCGUUGUUCGGAAUUACUGGGCGUAAAGGGCGCGUAGGCGGUCUUGUCAGUCCCUUGUGAAAUCCCCCGGCUCAACUGGGGAACUGCACGGGAAACAGCAGGGCUUGAGUUCGGGAGAGGGAAGCGGAAUUCCGGGUGUAGCGGUGAAAUGCGUAGAUAUCCGGAGGAACACCGGUGGCGAAGGCGGCUUCCUGGACCGAUACUGACGCUGAGGCGCGAAAGCUAGGGAGCAAACGGG
rnacentral:rRNA from 1 species